UUUGCUACAAUGUUUUCGGUUUUCAGUUUCAGCAAUAAUAAGUUCAAUCCAAACGGACCCUUAGUGUUUAUUUGUGGCUUACACAUUACAAAUAGGUGUUGAAUUUUGAAACUUUGCUUAGUUUUAAUAGUUGAAGGAUGGGAGAGAGGAAGGUGCUAAACAAAUACUAGGCACUUGUCUUCAACUCAGAGGAUUUUGAGGGGUCAAGCACACAUGAUGCUCCCCAUAAGUAGAUGUUAUUGGUGACAAUUAUUUAUUGAAGGUUCUGAUUCUACUUCAAAUGUACAAAUGUUUUGCUGAGCUUACCAUCAAGACUAAUCCACAAAAUUUCAACUAUAUUGUUAAGUCUGGUGCUACCAGAAAUUUUGAACCUGUGUGAAGAGGAUGAGGCAGCAGAGACAAUAACCAUAAAAAAGAAGUAGGAGAGAUGGAAGAUGCAAUGAAAUCUUUAGACAACAAAAACCUUGGAUUUGAAAAUAAAAAUGGACAUCAUUACUACACUGGAUGGGAUGAAAUCUAUGAAGCUCUUUUUCUUGUAUUUCAUCGACUUAAUUGGCAGACAAGGUACCCCACAUGAAGAAAGUUCUUGGGAAUGAUGAGGUUUUGUUGAAAUUUGAUGAGACGAAGGGUAGGGGGAGUUUUGAGAGUUUGGAGAGUUUGAUGGAGUAAGAGGAUGGUAGUUUAGGUAGUGCUUCUGAGAUUGAAUGGGAGAGUAGUGAAAUUGAAGUUAAAUAGGAUGAAAGAGAGAAUCAUUUUUAUGGUAUGGCAGUGGUAUCUUCUGCAUCAUCACAAUUUGGCAUGUUCCAACUUCUAUGAUUGGUGAGAGCAUGUACUGGUGACUGUUUCUUCACUAUGUUGGCGUGCUUGACAUAGCAGUACGUGAUGGAAAUGUACGGUGCUCAGGACAACCCCAGAGCCACACUUCCUAUUUUGAACUCAUGAUAGAUGCUUCCAAGACACCUAUACCAAUUAGGCUUGAGCUUGGUGGAGAAAUGCAUUUAUUGUGUAUGAAGAUGUGUGUGUGGAUCAUGUAUGAUUCCUUUUGAAAUUUGAUGUUUAGCUGGCUUUAAGUCUGUUUGUCGUGUUUUCCCUUAUAUCUAUCAAUUGUUCGUGGAAACGAAUAGCAUGGUAGAAACAUAAUUAGUGUGCUUUUGUUUAGCUUAUAAAAACAAUACAGGUAGUUU